rnacentral:sRNA from 1 species
AUUAGGCAAAAAAAAUUAAAAGUAUCUCUGAUUAUUUGAAAUGAAUCUAUCAUUUUUUUGUUUAAAUACCGCAAUAAUCACCCUGUUAGUAAUCCUGGAAUACAUUCUUAACAGCCUGGUCUUUUUCACUUUGCCUAAGAUCUUAGAGGCCCCGAAGCUGCGCGCUCGGUCGAAGAGGACGACCAUCCCCGAUAGAGGAGGACCGUUCUUCGGUCAAGGGUAUACGAGUAGCUGCGCUCCCCUGCUAGAACCUCCAAACAAGCUCUCAAGAUCUUAGAGGCCAAGCAGUAUGGUGUAGGUUCCUACUUUCUUCUGCAGCCAGAGCCAUCAUUCU